CUACCCCAUACGAGUCCUACAUGUUCUAUUUCGGUAAACAGCGCAAUGACAACCUCAACAUAUCAUGUUCCUGUGAUAUAACAUCUGAGUCCCCAACAAUAACACUCUAUACUAGAUAUAUUAAAUUAGGGGCUCAAACAUGUCCUGGUUUCGGCACCUCUCUCUCCACCUUACGGCUAAACAAUUGUUCAUCUACUGGAUUAAGCGACACCUUUAGAUUCGUUGCUCACCUACCUACACCAAUUCAUAUGCCAGUUGAACAAUUGGCAGCGCAUCCUGACGACAUCUUUUGGUUGAAAUUUCGAAACAACGCGGUAAAGGCCUUAACUAUAACAUGUACCGGAUGUGGUGUAGAUGUUCAAGGUGCUUGUGGGAAGACGGUGCAGAUAUCCCAGAAUUGCUAUGGAUCACAUGCAUGCGCAGAUCACCCACUACAAUGCAAGGAAGGAAGCGUAAUCGCAUUGAGUUCAUUAACAGUUUAUAGGGGACAUAGAUAUUAUGAAUCACCUGUUUGUCAGAAAGCCACGUGUAACACGGUUACAUCAUGUUGUAAUUAUCAGAAUCAGGAUAGACUACACAGGUUCGAUCGUGAAGAACUGGCUGAUCUCUUCAAGAAAUGUAUGUACAGACAGUCUUGUAUAAACACGCCUCAAUAUAGUAACCCUGGUAACGCUACCUAUACCUAUUAUCGAUAUGAGUGC